AGUGAACGCUGGCGGUAUGCCUAACACAUGCAAGUCGAACGGCAGCACAGUAAGCUUUUGCCCUUACGGUUGGCGAGGGGCGGACGGGUGACGAAUACAUCGCAAUCCACUUUUUCUUGGGUGAUUACGUGGGGAAACUUACGCUAAUACCGCAUACGAUCUACGGGUGAAAUCAGUGGUUCUUCGGACCUUUCGCGUCUGAUUUAGCCGAUGUCGGAUUAGCUAGUUGGCGGGGUAAAGGCCCACCAAGGCAACGAUCCGUAGCGGGUCUGAGAGGAUGAUCAGCCACACUGGAACUGAGACACGGUCCAGACUCCUACGGGAGGCAGCAGUGGGGAAUAUUGCACAAUGGGCGCAAGCCUGACGCAGCAACACCGCGUGAGUGAAGAAGGCCUUCGGGUUGUAAAGCCCUGUUAUUGGGAAAGAACAGAAGCAGAAUAAUACAUGGCUGUUCUGACGGUACCCAAAGAAUAAGCACCGGCUAACUUCGUG
rnacentral:rRNA from 1 species